rnacentral:rRNA from 1 species
GAUGAACGCUGGCGGCGUGCCUAAUACAUGCAAGUCGAGCGAACGGACGAGAAGCUUGCUUCUCUGAUGUUAGCGGCGGACGGGUGAGUAACACGUGGAUAACCUACCUAUAAGACUGGGAUAACUUCGGGAAACCGGAGCUAAUACCGGAUGAUAUUUUGAACCGCAUGGUUCAAAAGUGAAAGACGGUCUUGCUGUCACUUAUAGAUGGAUCCGCGCUGCAUUAGCUAGUUGGUAAGGUAACGGCUUACCAAGGCAACGAUGCAUAGCCGACCUGAGAGGGUGAUCGGCCACACUGGAACUGAGACACGGUCCAGACUCCUACGGGAGGCAGCAGUAGGGAAUCUUCCGCAAUGGGCGAAAGCCUGACGGGGCAACGCCGCGGGAGUGAUGAAGGUCUUCGGAUCGUAAAACUCUGUUAUUAGGGAAGAACAUAUGUGUAAGUAACUGUGCACAUCUUGACGGUACCUAAUCAGAAAGCCACGGCUAACUACGUG